UACAGGGGGUGCAAACGUUGCUCGGAAUCAUUGGGCGUAAAGCGCACGUAGGCGGUUCGUUAUGUCGGAUGUGAAAGCCCUUGGCUUAACCGAGGAAGUGCAUCCGAAACUGGCGAGCUAGAGUACGAAAGAGGAUCGCGGAAUUCCCGGUGUAGAGGUGAAAUUCGUAGAUAUCGGGAGGAACACCGGUGGCGAAGGCGGCGAUCUGGGUCGAUACUGACGUUGAGGUGCGAAAGCGUGGGGAGCAAACAGG
rnacentral:rRNA from 1 species